GGGUGUCUUCGCAGAGACAGAUGAGGUGGGCUGGCGAUUCCCUAGCCUCAGAUGGCUCUGCCACCAGCCAGCUCUGUGAUCCUGGCCGAUGGGGUGCCAGGCAUUAGAAACCUUCCCUCCAAUCCUCACCAUGUCUCCAUUUUGCCAAAGAAGAAACUGAGGUUAAGGUCGCGAUGCUCUGGCCAGCAUCACAGGUAAACGAUUUUGGCAGUGCCCGGAGAAAGAUAGAAGUAAGACCUAAAGAGGAACUUUCCGCAUGUUAUGGGAGAGCCCCUGGGGCGAGGAGGCGAGGGCAGCCUUCCCCAGGCCAAGGGAGCAGCCAUCGCUCUUGGAUCUGUUUUUCCUCAAGCGUCUGUCCUGUGGGGCCUAGUCCCCAAGCGGCAGUCCUGGACCUAACGGGAGAAGGGGCUGGGGGAAGAGGGCGCACCCCCAGCCCGGGACCCACAGCAGCCCUAGCCAGUCCCCCACUCUCUCCC
rnacentral:lncRNA from 1 species